rnacentral:rRNA from 1 species
GACGAACGCUGGCGGCGCGCCUAACACAUGCAAGUCGAACGGAGUUACAUUGAAAGCUUGCUGGAUAUGUAACUUAGUGGCGGACGGGUGAGUAACACGUGAGUAAUCUGCCUUCCAGAGGGGAAUAACGUUUGGAAACGAACGCUAAUACCGCAUAACGUGCGGUCCUCGCAUGGGGACUGUACCAAAGAUUUUAUCGCUGGAAGAUGAGCUCGCGGCCGAUUAGGUAGUUGGUGAGAUAACGGCUCACCAAGCCGACGAUCUUUAGCUGGUCUGAGAGGAUGAUCAGCCACACUGGGACUGAGACACGGCCCAG